GAUUGGAUUUUAUAGCAUCAGAUCAUAUCUUAUGUAAAUGUACAAUAGAGCAAUCACAGUGAAAGAGAGGCUCCUUGGGAACUUGAAGUAGAAAAGAGAGUCAAGUAUCCAUAGCCCUUCAAAUCUUCAGAUAUAUUUAUUUAAAAAAAAAUUAUUUUAAGAGGGGAGAAUGUAAUAGCCAGAAUUUGGUCCAUGGUUUGACUGAAAAUGCUCGACUGAUGCCAUGCACAUGCUCGGCACAUAAGUG
rnacentral:lncRNA from 1 species